GGCUCAAGGUCCCCUUUGCUUUGUGACCUUAGAAGUUUGUUUAUUCAGGCUAUGCCUCAACAUUUUCUUUGAGAAGCAUUUUGCAAGCAGUGUUGUAAGAGCUGAAAAAGCAUAAAAUAUCUAAAACUAUUACUUCUAGGAACAUGGUGGGCUCAAUGAAUAAACAGAGUUGCUAUUUGCAUAAUUUUUCAUUAGCAUUAUUUUCUUAAUUUCUAACGUGUUGCCCUGUCAUAAAAAAACUAGAUUAAAAUAGACCCUAAAGUCAGAAGAGUUUUGAUUAGGAUGAAGGGGCUAAAUUGGUUACCCAGAUGGACUCAUUUGUUACAAGGAGAUUAUGAGAAGUAUUUAUUCAACAGUGUUCCUCAGCCAGUGUUUGGGUUAUUGGAAAAGGAAGUAUAUUGUAAUAACAAAUGACCCCAGGGAGGAGGGGAAUUGUUCUCAAAUUCUUCAUGUAUGUUCAUCUUUUCUUCCCAGAAAGAAUAUACUUCCUUGAUGGGCAAAGUCCAUUUCUUCUGUUUUUAUAACUUUCUUUUUCUUUCUCUGGGUUUUCAAGAGGAAUGCACAUAUGGAUAGAAGAAAACUAGAAAUUCUAACUACUUGUAUUGCUAAAUAUGUGUGGAGUUUUAUAUAAAUAUAUUUCAUAAGCAGUGUAAAUGGUGAGAGUUCAUACUGAUGAUUUUGUGGAACACUUGGUGUGCUAGCUUAAGUGCAGAACAUGGCAAGCUUUAGCCUCUUGGGGACCUCUGCUCUCAGCUGGUGUAACCUGUUUCUCACCUCAGAGACUCACAAACCGAAGUGCCUGGACUUCUACUGCUGAGGUCCUGCUGGCCCCUCCUGUUUUGGAAAAGGAGCCUCCAAAGUGUUCUCACUUUUGAGGAAAGUGUUUCUUGGAUUAAAAUCUGUAGAUCUUCCUGAUUUCCAUAAAUAUUCUGUGCUUUUUUUGUACUCUAAUAAAUGUUGCUG
rnacentral:lncRNA from 1 species